rnacentral:rRNA from 1 species
UACGGAGGAUGCAAGCGUUAUCCGGAAUGAUUGGGCGUAAAGCGUCCGCAGGUGGCUGUGUAAGUCUGCUGUCAAAGAGCGAAGCUCAACUUCGUAAAGGCAGUGGAAACUACACGGCUAGAGUGCGUUCGGGGCAGAGGGAAUUCCUGGUGUAGCGGUGAAAUGCGUAGAUAUCAAGAGGAACACCUGCGGCGAAGGCGGGUUGCUGGGCUGAUACUGACGCUGAGGCGCGAAAGCCAGGGAGCGAACGGG